GAUGAACGCUGACAGAAUGCUUAACACAUGCAAGUCUUUGGCGAAUCUGUGCUUGCACAGGCUAGCCAAGGCGGACGGGUGAGUAACGCGUAAAGAACUUGCCCUGCAGACAGGGAUAACAGACGGAAACGACUGAUAACACCUGAUACAGUUGCCGGCACGCAUGUGCCUGGCAAUGAAAAGAGAUGCUGCAGGAGAGCUUUGCGUCCUAUUAGCUUGUUGGUGAGGUGACGGAUCACCAAGGCGAUGAUAGGUAGCCGGCCUGAGAGGGUGAACGGCCACAAGGGGAGUGAGAUACGGCCGUGACUACUACGGGAGGAAGCAGUGGGGAAUAUUGGACAAUGGGGGCAACACUGAUGAAGCAAUUCUGUGUGCAGGAAGAAGGUUUUCGGAUUGUAAAGUGCUUUCAGCAGGGAAGAAGAAAGUGACGGUACCUGCAGAAGAAGCGACGGCUAAAUACGUG
rnacentral:rRNA from 1 species